UAAAGACUGGCGAACGUUGGGCCUAUAGCUCAGCUGGCUAGAGCGUACCCCUGAUAAGGGUAAGGUCGGUAGUUCGACUCUACCUAGGCCCACCUGACCCGGGAUCGCGGGCCGAGGGGCUGUAGCUCAGAUGGGAGAGCGCCGCCCUUGCAAGGCGGAGGCCGUCGGUUCGAUUCCGAUCAGCUCCACUCCCCCCAACCCCAACCCUGCCGGAUGCGCGGUGCGGGCAUCACGCGAUGCGCACCGCGGAUCCAGACAGGGUUCUUCCUGGGUUCGUCAUUCGGUCUUUGACAAUUGCAUACGGGUAAAGAAACCGGAUCUAAGAGAGCGCAAUUGGUAGUUCGGCGAUGAAAAUGGUCAAGCUACUAAGGGCGUAC
rnacentral:tRNA from 1 species